rnacentral:snRNA from 1 species
AUCGCUUCUCGGCCUUUUGGCUAAGAUCAAGUGUAAAAAAAUUCGUGAGUUUAAAAUGCAUUGAUGAAAUAACAUGAUUUUUUAGUUUAAAUGGCUCUGCUUGCCAAAGGCCAUUCUACAACUGUUCUGCUUAGCAUCUUGAUAGGAGUGGAAGGAGAGCAG